AGUAAACUUGAAGCACUUCCAUUCUAUUUAAGUAUUCCUGGUAUAAGUUACAUCACAGCCUUAAAUAUGUGUCACCAGUUUUCAUCUGUGAAAAAGAUGGCUAACAGCUCCCCUGAAGAAAUCUCCACAUGUGCGCAAGUAAAUCAUCAAAAGGCUGAAGAGAUCUAUAAAUAUAUUCACUAUAUAUUUGACAUGCAAAUGUUACCAAAUGAUCUUAACCAGGAAAGACAAAAACCUGAUACAUGCUUAACACUUGGAGUCGCUAUGAAAGAACUCUCAUAAUGCUAAUGUAUUUCAAUAAUCAUUGUAGUUUGAGAUGACCAGUUUAAAAUAUGUAAAUAUUCAUCUCUUAAUGAUCUUUAUAUUAUAUAUACUUUUUAUUUAUAGACUAUAUAUUUUUAAAAGGAAAUCUUUGAUGUUCCAUAAUCAUUUUGAUUGGACCGUGAAACAAACUUUUAUUGAAUAAAUCAAGGCUAUUUGAAGGGUUUGGUCAGAGUGAUUUAAGCAUCUAAGUAAGGCAAAGGGCUGGAAGCUGCCCAAGCCUGACAACCUCAGGUCAUCCCUGUGCUGGCUGCUCUUAAGUCAACUUAAGCUAUCUGGAAGGAGGGAAACUGCUGUAAGUAGUUGUUGAUGGAGUGGCCCCAGCCCAUUGUUGGUACUAUCCCUGGGCUGCUGCUCCUGGGGUCUAAGAAAGCAAGGUGAGCAAGUCAUGGGAAGCAGGCCAAUAAGCAGCAUCCCUCCCUCCAUGGCCUCUGCAUCAGCUCCUGCCUCUAAGUGCAAGCCCUGCUUGAGUUCCUGUCCUCGCUUCCUCCAAAGAAGAGACUAUAGUCUGGAAAUAUAAGCCAAGUAAGCCCUUUCCUCCACAGCUUGACUUUUGGUUAUGGUGUUGCAUCGCAGCAAUAGAAACCUAAGACAAUACAGUGCUGGGGACUUCAGAAAAUGGAGGCUAUCAGGAGUUUGCAAACGCUGUAUCAGGAUGGCAAAGUUGGUGAGCUCCAUGUUCAUCGGAAAACUGUCUGGCCACCACACAAAUAAUGCUUGCCUGUGUGUUCACAUCUUCAUUCAUACACAGAAAAGAUGAGUCAUCUUUGAUGACAUACUCCUGGAAUACCAAAACAUUGUAGGCCAAGGCAGUAGGCACAUGCUAUAAGGCUAGCCUUGGCCUUAACAAGAUCCUGUCUCAAAAGAGCAUAGAAGCAAGAUGUAUUUUAGAAUUUUUCCAAGAAUUAAGUACUAUGAUUUAUUAUUGGCAAAAACUUUAUAAUAAUUUGUGCUGUAUGUGAAUUAUGUAACAUUUUAAGUAUACUAAGUCUAGGACCUGAAGAGAUGGCGCAGAGGUUAAAAGCACACACUGCUCUUGUAUGUCCAGCAGCAACCCCAUCAGGUAGCUUCAGUGGAUCUAAAGUCUCUGCCUUCUUAGGCAGUGCACUGACAUUGUACAGACGUGUGUGUACUCAAUCAUGCAUAGUGAGUAAAGUAGAUGUGAAACACAUGAUCUAAUAAAGUCAAAUGUUUACUAAGU
rnacentral:lncRNA from 1 species